GCUGGGUGUGGUGGUGCAUGCCUGUAGUCCCAGCUACUGGGGAGGCUGAGGCAGGAGAAUCGCUUGAACCCAGGAGGCAGAAGUUGUGGUGAGCCGAGGCUGCAACACUACACUCCAGCCUGGGUGACAGAGCGAGACUCUGUCUCAA
rnacentral:SRP_RNA from 1 species